UACAGAGGGGCCAAGCGUUGUCCGGAUUGACUGGGCGUAAAGCGCACGCAGGCGGACGCGCGCGUGGGGUGUGAAAUCUGGCCGCUUAACGGCCAGGCGCCAUCCCAUACGGCGCGUCUGGAGUGAUGCAGAGGUCGAUGGAAUUGCCGGUGUAGUGGUGAAAUGCGUAGAGAUCGGCAGGAACACCCAGGGGGAAACCAGUCGACUGGGCAUCUACUGACGCUGAGGUGCGAGAGCGUGGGGAGCGAACCGG
rnacentral:rRNA from 1 species